CGUGGGUCGGUCGGACUCCCGCUGGCAUCCUCCGACGAAGGUCCGGUCGAAUCACUACACCCCCCAUCACUUUUUUCAUUGGAAGGAGAAGAAAGGAUAGUUUUAUACAUGACAACAAAAAUGAUGAAGAGAAGAAAUUUAAAGCAAGACUUUGGAUGUAAAUAAAGAGAGGAAAUUACCUUAGAAGAGAGGAAAUCUAGGAAGUUGAGAGAAAAUGAAAGUGAUUUUCUAGAAUGAGAAUUACCCCCCCU
rnacentral:lncRNA from 1 species